rnacentral:rRNA from 1 species
GAUGAACGCUGGCGGCGUGCCUAAUACAUGCAAGUCGAGCGAACAGAUAAGGAGCUUGCUCCUUUGACGUUAGCGGCGGACGGGUGAGUAACACGUGGGUAACCUACCUAUAAGACUGGGAUAACUUCGGGAAACCGGAGCUAAUACCGGAUAACAUUUGGAACCGCAUGGUUCUAAAGUGAAAGAUGGUUUUGCUAUCACUUAUAGAUGGACCCGCGCCGUAUUAGCUAGUCGGUAAGGUAACGGCUUACCAAGGCGACGAUACGUAGCCGACCUGAGAGGGUGAUCGGCCACACUGGAACUGAGACACGGUCCAGACUCCUACGGGAGGCAGCAGUAGGGAAUCUUCCGCAAUGGGCGAAAGCCUGACGGAGCAACGCCGCGUGAGUGAUGAAGGGUUUCGGCUCGUAAAACUCUGUUAUUAGGGAAGAACAAAUGUGUAAGUAACUGUGCACGUCCUGACGGUACCUAAUCAGAAAGCCACGGCUAACUACGUG